GGAGAUGCAAAUCCUUCUCUUCAGAGGACACCACAGCUAUUCAAGAUGCUGACUACAUGGUUUUUGAUUCUUGCAUGGUUUUUCAAGCAGCCAUCAAGUUGUUUCUGAGCUCUGUCUGCUGAGAUGAAGUCACAUAAACCAGAUGGAUGGUUUCUUAUGCAUGUUUUUGUGUUUUUCUUUUCAAAUAUCAUGAAAAUGUCAUGCAAAAUAAAAAAAGGAAAUGAAAACUAUAGAGCAUACGUUUGCAAACAGCAAAUAUUGAAUACAAGCACCAUGAAGAAAGGACUAUCUUCUUCUUGAAUCCGCCACACCUAGAGCAGUGCCCGCCGCCCACACCAUGGAUGCUUGGUGAAGAUGUGUUUCGUGAAUAAACAACUUGAGUUUAGGCGUGUUCAGUGCCUGCAAAAGGCAAGACUGAAUCUUUUCUUUGAAUUUUCUUUUUAAAGAUGAACAUUGAGCUGGAUGUUUUGGAUCACAGGACCUUCAAUGCAGUCUCAUCGUUUUACUCUGCGGCCCUUCAUUAUCAAUUCAGAGCCAUGUCAUGCGACAUUCAGAUAUUACCUCCCUCAACUUGUUUUCCGUGGGUCAGGAGUCCGGGCAUUCCUUGGCUGGUGUUAUGGACUGGAUUGUGUUUCAUCACCACCACCGCCAAAUUCUUAUGUUGAAGCCCUACCCCCAAAGUGACUGUAUUUAGAGAUAGAGCCCUUGAGGUAAUUAAGGUAAAAUAUGGUCCUAUGGGUGGACCCUAAUGCAAUAGGACUGGUGUCCUUAUAAGAAGAGGAGAUGAGGACAGACAUGAACAGAGGGAUGACCAUGUGAGGACACAGGGAGAAGACGGCGUCUACACGCCAAGAAGAGAGGCCUCAGGAGGAACCAGCCCUGCUGACACCUUGAUCUCAGACUUCCAGCCUCCAGAACUGCAAGAAAACAGAUUUUGCUUGUUUAAGCCACCCAGUCUCAGGCACGCUGUUAUGGCCACCGAGCAGACUAAGAUAGCUGGAUUCCCGGCUUCCGGGUCUCAGAGAGGCUGCAAUCCAGGUGGUUCAGUCUGGCUUGUCCCACCAUCCACUUCAAAAUCUGCUCUUAGCCAUGAGGAGAGGGAUGGUAGGCGCUCUGUGCUUCGCAUGACUGUACAGGAACCAACAUUACUUUUCUUUAAAACUCAUCUAUGUGCAGGACUCAAGGAAAAUUAAGAUCUGGAGACCCAGGUUGUAACUGGACUGUGUGAAGCCAGCGUCAAUAUUUCUAUCAAACAAGGCACAUAUUUCAAGGAAGGAUUUACUAACUAUUAUUGAAUGAACAGUAUGUCUAUUUUUAAUUGUUGCUUCUGUGCUGCAAGAUCCAUUGUUUUACUAAUCUGGACUUCCAUCUUCAUGUUUAAUGUCUUCUUAUUUUACAACUAGGAAUUAUUGUUUCUCAUCUCCCAGGACUAAACAUGGUCCCCAAAAGACAUUAAGUGGUUGGUUGAAGAUGAACAUGUUAGGUGGCUUUUAUUUAUUUAAUCCACCCAACUCAUCAAAAGCCAUACUAUUUGUCGCCCCUCCCCAAUCCCCAGGGCGGUGUGUCUACAGCGUGAUCACCUUAUACCCUCUCUCAUGCGAGCACAGCAGCCAGCUUUACACAGAACAAGCUGUGUAUGUUCCAGCAGCCAACUCUCCAGGAAUCCAGCUCCUUCCGCCCACACGUGGAAGUUCCCUCCCACGGACUGGGCUUUGCCUUCUUCCUGUGAACCUUUUCCAAGGCAAAAUUGCAAAGACUUUUAUUCACGUCUGCCCAUGGCUUUACUUCCUGAUUUUUUCCCCAACGCCUAUGCUUCUUUCUCUAUUUAUUUCCAAUGAUAUGCCUUAAUAUAUCCAUUGGGUUAGAAAUUCUCCAAAUGAAAAGGAAUAAACCACAAGAACCAGAAUUUCCAGAGAGAAGAUUUUGAUUACCAACUUGAGCAUAACAUAAUCGAUUCCAAGUAUUUUUCUUCUCUCCUUCAGAUGAAAGUGGGAUUGCCUGGAAAACUGCCUCUGUCUGCCAGCUUCCUGGAAAGAGAUUUUGAAUUGGGUAGAUUCGCAAAAACCCUUUGUAAUUGAAGACUGUAAGAUUCUUUUAAAGCUAAGCACAUUGAUAACAAAGGAAUUUCUCCAGAGUAGGAUGCAGUAGAUAAGAUAUGCUCCUGUGUUUCGCUCUCGCAUUUCUAGUUUGUGUUGGUUUAAAAUGCAAUCUGCCCCUGGAAUUCACCUCUAUCACCUCUGCUAUUCCUAUCCCCUCACUGUUUUUUUUUUUUUUUUACAACAUUCAGGGUGAGGUUGAAAGUAAAGUUCACUUUAGGACUAAUUUAAAGAAUAAAGUCCUUGUGUACAAAUGCAAGCAUAAAUGGGAAAUUCUUGUCAAGAGUGUAUAAUUCAUAGAUGGUCUAGCAUCUAUAAACAUAAUACUAACGGACCUUAUUAAACUUCCACUUAAAGGGUGGGUUUGAACAUACAUGAAGGAACAAAAAAGUCUUUUAUCCCAUCUCUACAUUCAUUUUGUCUAACAGUCAUGACAAAUCAGUUUUUUAGCCUUGCUACAGAUUUUGUUAUUUGCCAGAGCAAAAGUUCAUCUUUUUUUUUGGUUUGGUUUUUUUUGUGUGUGAGGAAGAUUGGCCCUGAGCUAACAUCUGUGCCAAUCAUCCUCUACUUUAUGUGUCACCCCCACAGCAUGGCUUCACAAGCAGUGCUAGGUCCACACCCAGGAUCCGAACCUGUGAACCCCAGGUGCUGAAGCAGAG
rnacentral:lncRNA from 1 species